GAGUGGCGAACGGGUGAGUAAUAUAUCGGAACGUGCCCAAUCGUGGGGGAUAACGUAGAGAAAUUUACGCUAAUACCGCAUACGAUCCAAGGAUGAAAGCGGGGGAUUCGCAAGAACCUCGCGCGAUUGGAGCGGCUGAUAUCAGAUUAGGUUGUUGGUGAGGUAAAAGCUCACCAAGCCGACGAUCUGUAGCUGGUUUGAGAGAACGACCAGCCACACUGGGACUGAGACACGGCCCAUCACUCCUACGGGAGGCAGCAGUGGGGAAUUUUGGACAAUGGGCGAAAGCCUGAUCCAGCAAUGCCGCGUGCAGGAAGAAGGCCUUCGGGUUGUAAACUGCUUUUGUACGGAAUGAAACGGUCUGCUUUAAUAAAGCGGGCUAAUGACGGUACCGUAAGAAUAAGCACCGGCUAACUACGUGCCAGCAGCCGCGGUAAUACGUAGGGUGCGAGCGUUAAUCGGAAUUACUGGGCGUAAAGCGUGCGCAGGCGGUUAUGUAAGACAGUUGUGCAAUCCCCGGGCUCAACCUGGGAAUUGCAUCUGUGACUGCAUAGCUAGAGUACGGUAGAGGGGGAUGGAAUUCCGCGUGUAGCAGUGAAAUGCGUAGAUAUGCGGAGGAA
rnacentral:rRNA from 1 species